AACCCGAGGAGUGGUACUCAGAUAGUACAAGUGUUUAUCACUAUAAUCAGAUGGCAUAUAGAUGUCCUUUUAUGGUGACCUUAUUUGUCAUUCUACCUACUGUAAGUCCUAUGGCAACAUGUGCAGAUGUAACCAGUUAGAAGCACACUGCAAGUUACAGCUUUCAUCUUUCACCUAUGCUUUAAACUAUGCAGAUCUGCAAUGAGACUGAGUAGUCAUCUGAGAGGGCAUGGAUAGAAAGUCUGAAGUGUUGUUGACAACAAGGAAGCACAAGGAGACAGCAAUCAUCUGUAUGUGCCUGUAUAUGCAUUGAAGUGAUGGCCUUUCCUGGUGAUAACAGCAUUGACAAUGUGAAAUACAAGAAGUUUCAGGAGAAGAAAUCUGUUAUUGAAGGAGGAUUAUUAGAAACAAGGAAUGUAGCUGGAAGAGGAGAUGACUCACAAAUGGAUACUUACAAAAUUUGUUUCAUCAACAAAAUAUGAUGACUAAAUAGGUAGCAGUGCAUUUUUACCAGCCUGUCGACACAAGGAGGCAGCUAAGACAGAGGGUGCAGAUUGAUGACAAGGACUUCUGUCGCAACAAAUAUAGCAAAAUUGUUUCCAGUUAUGUUGGGUAAGCUGCAUGUUGCCAUAUCAACAGCUUGCUAUAAACUCCAAGCAGUAUCUCUUUCUUCACCAGUGUGUAAUUAUUGAUGUUGCUAUCUGUAGAAGGCCAAUGUUGUUAUGUACAGUAAUAAAAUCUUCUGUUA